rnacentral:rRNA from 1 species
AUUGAACGCUGGCGGCAGGCCUAACACAUGCAAGUCGAACGAGUGGCGGACGGGUGAGUAAUGUCUGGGAAACUGCCUGAUGGAGGGGGAUAAAUACUGGAAACGGUAGCUAAUACCGCAUACCAUCAGAUGUGCCCAGAUGGGAUUAGCUUGUGGGUGGGGUAGUGGCUCACCAAGGCGACGAUCCCUAGCUGGUCUGCGAGGAAGACCCGCCACACGGGAACUGUGACACUGUCCAGACUCCUACUGGAGUCAGCGGUGGGGAAUAUUGCACAAUGGGCGCAAGCCUGAUGCAGCCAUGCCGCGUGUAUGAAUAAGGCCUUCGGGUUGUAAAGUACUUUCAGCGGGGAGGCGUUACCCGCAGAAGAAGCACCGGCUAACUCCGUGCCAGCAGCCGCGGUAAUUC